ACUACAUUCAGAUCCAUAUGCAUGUUCAUAUAUUGUGUCCUAUGAUCAUUUACAUAUAAUAACUAACAGAAUAUACAUUAUAUGCACUAGCUACCAUAUAAUAUUCAGAUCUCUUGCCCAGCAGCAAGCUAUUUCCCAGAAAAUCAAAUAAUUUGCAUGUCAAGCACAUACUGACACCAGUCUUCUUUUAAUUCCAUCAGAUCUUCCUCAGAAUAUGAUGGACUGGAAUUGUCAAAGUACUGCAAUAUAAAAAUUGAACAUAUUAUAUUAAGUUAGUAUCAAAUAUAUAGAUAAUUUAUAUAUGAAAAUCAUAUAAUGCAAAUACCGUACCGUUUCUGGGAUAAUAGUUUUAUUCUUCUCAACAAUCUCCUUCAUGAAUCUCAA
rnacentral:lncRNA from 1 species